GAUGAACGCUGGCGGCGUGCUUAACACAUGCAAGUCGAACGGAAAGGCCCAAGCUUGCUUGGGUGCUCGAGUGGCGAACGGGUGAGUAACACGUGGGUGAUCUGCCCUGCACUUUGGGAUAAGCCUGGGAAACUGGGUCUAAUACCGGAUAGGACCAUCGUUUAGUGUCGGUGGUGGAAAGUUUUUCGGUGUGGGAUGAGCUCGCGGCCUAUCAGCUUGUUGGUGGGGUAAUGGCCUACCAAGGCGUCGACGGGUAGCCGGCCUGAGAGGGUGUACGGCCACAUUGGGACUGAGAUACGGCCCAGACUCCUACGGGAGGCAGCAGUGGGGAAUAUUGCACAAUGGGCGCAAGCCUGAUGCAGCGACGCCGCGUGGGGGAUGACGGCCUUCGGGUCGUAAACUCCUUUCGCCAAGGACGAAGCGUUUUGUGACGGUACUUGGAGAAGAAGCACCGGCUAACUACGUG
rnacentral:rRNA from 1 species